AAGUCUGACGGAGCACGCCGCGUGAGUGAUGAAGGCUUUCGGGUCGUAAAACUCUGUUGUUAGGGAAGAACAAGUACAAGAGUAACUGCUUGUACCUUGACGGUACCUAACCAGAAAGCCACGGCUAACUACGUGCCAGCAGCCGCGGUAAUACGUAGGUGGCAAGCGUUAUCCGGAAUUAUUGGGCGUAAAGCGCGCGCAGGCGGUUUCUUAAGUCUGAUGUGAAAGCCCACGGCUCAACCGUGGAGGGUCAUUGGAAACUGGGGAACUUGAGNGCAGAAGAGAAAAGNGGAAUUCCACGUGUAGCGGUGAAAUGCGUAGAGAUGUGGAGGAACACCAGUGGCGAAGGCGGCUUUUUGGUCUGUAACUGACGCUGAGGCGCGAAAGCGUGGGGAGCAAACAGGAUUAGAUACCCUGGUAGUCCACGCCGUAAACGAUGAGUGCUAAGUGUUANAGGGUUUCCGCCCUUUAGUGCUGCAGCUAACGCAUUAAGCACUCCGCCUGGGGAGUACGGUCGCAAGACUGAAACUCAAAGGUUNNACNGGGG
rnacentral:rRNA from 1 species